GGAUGCGAGGGUGAUCUGGCUGCGACAUCUGUCACCCCAUUGAUCGCCAGGGUUGAUUCAGCUGAUCUGGCUGGCUAAGCGGGUGUCCCCUCCCUCCCUCACCGCUCCAUGUGCAUCCCUCCCGAAGCUGCGCGCUCAGUGGAAGAGGAUGACCAUCCCAGAUAGAGGGAGUGUACCGUUCUUCGGUCAAGGGUGUACGAUAGCUGCGCUCCCCUGCUAGAACCUCCAAACAAGCAGCCCUUUCUUGCACAUCUGGGACAGGAGAAGCAGCUCCUGGGUCAAGAGGUGUGACAGUGGCGUGCAGGGAAAUUUUUCAUAGGGAAACAGUUAGGGCCAGAGGUGCCGGCUU